ACUCACCAGGUCAGGACACGGUAAGGAUUGACGGACUGAAGGCUCUUUCUCGAUUCCGUGGAAAGUGGUGCAUGGCCGUUUUUGGUUGGUGGAUCGAUCCGUCUGGUUAAUUCCGUUAACGAACGAGACCUCGGCACUCCGAAUAGCGCGGCGGACGUCGCGGCCUCCGGGGCCGUCUUCCGCACGAGCUUCUUAGAGGGACCGUCCCCCGCCGGGGAAGGAGGUGCGAGGCAACGACAGGUCUGUGAUGCCCUUAGAUGUUCUGGGCCGCACGCGCAUUACACUGACGCGUCCAACGGGUGACUCCCGACCCGAAGGGGCCGGGGAAUCCGCAAGGCGCGUCGUGAUGGGGAUUGAACGUUGCAAUUGUUGUUCACGAACGAGGAAUUCCUAGUAGGCGCGGGUCAUCAACCCGCGCCGAUUACGUCCCU
rnacentral:rRNA from 1 species